GGGAUUGUGGCUCAGUGGCAGAGCGCUUGCCUGGCAUGCAUGAGGCACUGGGUUCAAUCCUCAGCACCA
rnacentral:tRNA from 1 species